UGUUGCCUACGGGGGGCAGCAGUGGGGAAUAUUGGGCAAUGGAGGCAACUCUGACCCAGCAACGCCGCGUGAAUGAUGAAGGUCUUCGGAUUGUAAAGUUCUGUGAUGGGGGAUGAACACAAUGACGGUACCCCAAUAGCAAGCCACGGCUAACUACGUGCCAGCAGCCGCGGUAAUACGUAGGGGGCAAGCGUUAUCCGGAUUUACUGGGUGUAAAGGGAGCGUAGACGGCAGCGCAAGUCUGGAGUGAAAUGCCGGGGCUCAACCCCGGCACUGCUUUGGAAACUGUGCAGCUAGAGUGCGGG
rnacentral:rRNA from 1 species